rnacentral:tRNA from 1 species
GAGGGUAUAGCUCAGUAGUAGAGUGCAUGCCUUGCGUGUUUGAAGUCCUGGAUUCAAUCCCCAGUACCUCCA